rnacentral:rRNA from 1 species
CCGGCGACCGGCGCACGGGUGAGUAACACGUAUGCGACCUGCCCCCCGCAGGGGGAUAACCGGGAGAAAUCCCGACUAAUACCGCGUAACGCCGCGGGGCUGCAUGGCCCGGCAGCCAAAGGAAGCGAUUCCGGCGGGGGAUGGGCAUGCGGCGCAUUAGCUAGUCGGCGGGGUAACGGCCCACCGAGGCGACGAUGCGUAGGGGUUCUGAGAGGAAGGUCCCCCACACUGGUACUGAGACACGGACCAGACUCCUACGGAAGGCAGCAG